UUUGGAUUCACUUUCAGGAUCAAGGACCCUGGUCCUUGUCUAAAAUUCCUCACCUCUAUAAAUGUCACCAUCAGAGAUGGGAAGAGCA